rnacentral:rRNA from 1 species
UACGUAGGUGGCAAGCGUUGUCCGGAUUUACUGGGCGUAAAGAGCGCGCAGGCGGUCGUCCAAGUCGCGUGUGAAAGCCCCCGGCUCAACUGGGGAGGGUCACGCGAUACUGAUCGACUCGAAGGCAGGAGAGGGAAGUGGAAUUCCCGGUGUAGUGGUGAAAUGCGUAGAUAUCGGGAGGAACACCAGUGGCGAAGGCGACUUCCUGGCCUGUUCUUGACGCUGAGGCGCGAAAGCUAGGGGAGCAAACGGGG